GUUGAAGCUCUUGGCUCCUUCCAGGGAUUAGAAGGACUGUUUCAUCUUCUAGUUGGAGGCUGUUUUAUCUUGGGGUAGUGGUGCAGAACACUCCUUGGCAGUAGGAGGCAUUAAUUACCUUAAAGGUAGCACCACAAGUGUAACUCAACCUCAAGCUUGUUCAAAACUUCUUCAGUUGUCUAUG